rnacentral:rRNA from 1 species
CCUACGGGUGGCAGCAGUGGGGAAUAUUGCACAAUGGGGGAAACCCUGAUGCAGCGACGCCGCGGGAGUGAAGAAGUAUUUCGGUAUGGUAAACUCUAUCAGCAGGGGAGCAAUAAAGUCCUUUGGACUUUUGACGGUACCUGCCUAAGCAACCCCGGCUAACUACGUGCCAGCAGCCGCGGUAAUACUGAGGGGGCAAGCUGUAACCGGAUUUAUUGGGUGGAAAGGGAGCGGAGACGGCAGAGCAAGUAUGGAGGGAAAUCCCAUGGCUUAACCAUGGAACUGCGUUGGAAACUGUGCAGCUAGAGUGCAGGAGAGGUAAGCGGAAUUCCUAGUGUAGCGGUGAAAUGCGUAGAUAUUAGGAGGAACACCAGUGGCGAAGGCGGCUUACUGGACUGUAACUGACGUUGAGGCUCGAAAGCGUGGGGAGCAAACAGGAUUAGAUACCCGGGUAGUC